rnacentral:rRNA from 1 species
AGCGAACGCUGGCGGCAGGCUUAACACAUGCAAGUCGAGCGCCGUAGCAAUACGGAGCGGCAGACGGGAGAGUAACACGUGGGAACGUGCCCUUCAGUUCGGAACAACCCAGGGAAACUUGGGCUAAUACCGAAUACGUCCGAAAGGAGAAAGAUUUAUCGCUGAAGGAUCGGCCCGCGUCUGAUUAGCUAGUUGGUGGGGUAAUGGCCCACCAAGGCGACGAUCAGUAGCUGGUCUGAGAGGAUGAUCAGCCUCACUGGGACUGAGACACGGCCCAGACUCCUACGGGAGGCAGCAGUGGGGAAUAUUGGACAAUGGGGGCAACCCUGAUCCAGCCAUGCCGCGUGGGUGAUGGAGGCCCUAGGGUUGUAAAGCCCUUUCGGCGGGGAAGAUAAUGACGGUACCCGCAGAAGAAGCCCCGGCUAACUUCGUGCCAGCAGCCGCCGUAA